UUUAUNGGAUAGAGAUGGGCUCGCGUGACAUUAGCUAGUUGGUAGGGUAACGGCUUANCAAGGCGACGAUGUCUAGGGGCUCUGAGAGGAGAAUCCCCCNCACUGGUACUGAGACACGGACCAGACUCNUACGGNAGGCAGCAGUAANGGAAUAUUGGUCAAUGGGCGGAAGCCUGAACCAGCCAUGCCGCGNGCAGGAUGACUGCCCUAUGGGUUGUAAACUGCUUUUGUCCAGGAAUAAACCUAGAUACGUGUAUCUAGCUGAAUGUACUGGAAGAAUAAGGAUCGGCUAACUCCGUGCCAGCAGCCGCGGUAAUACGGAGGAUCCGAGCGUUAUCCGGAUUUAUUGGGUUUAAAGGGUGCGUAGGCGGCCUGUUAAGUCAGGGGUGAAAUACGGUGGCUCAACCAUCGCAGUGCCUUUGAUACUGACGGGCUUGAAUCCAUUUGAAGUGGGCGGAAUAAGACAAGUAGCGGUGAAAUGCAUAGAUAUGUCUUAGAACUCCGAUUGCGAAGGCAGCUCACUAAGCUGGUAUUGACGCUGAUGCACGAAAGCGUGGGGAUCGAACAGGAUUAGAUACCCUGGUAGUCCACGCCCUAAACGAUGAUAACUCGAUGUUGGCGAUAGACAGCCAGCGUCCCAGCGAAAGCGUUAAGUUAUCCACCUGGGGAGUACGCCCGCAAGGGUGAAACUCAAAGGAAUUGACGGGGGCCCGCACAAGCGGAGGAGCAUGUGGUUUAAUUCGAUGAUACGCGAGGAACCUUACCC
rnacentral:rRNA from 1 species